UACGUAGGGUGCGAGCGUUGUCCGGAAUUAUUGGGCGUAAAGAGCUUGUAGGCGGUUUGUCGCGUCUGCUGUGAAAAUCCGGGGCUCAACCCCGGACUUGCAGUGGGUACGGGCAGGCUAGAGUGUGGUAGGGGAGACUGGAAUUCCUGGUGUAGCGGUGGAAUGCGCAGAUAUCAGGAGGAACACCGAUGGCGAAGGCAGGUCUCUGGGCCGCUACUGACGCUGAGAAGCGAAAGCAUGGGGAGCGAACAGG
rnacentral:rRNA from 1 species